rnacentral:misc_RNA from 1 species
ACACCUCAACUCUCAUGGUUUGCCCAUGAUGAGCUUGGAUUUUGGGGGUCUUGCUGGCCUACGGUCGGCUCCCCUGAAAUGAAUCAGCUUGCCAGUGUUUGGUGGGGAUCACAGGUGUGAUAACUAUCUACGCUUGUGGUUUUUCACCAAUUAACUUCCAGCAAUGGAGGUUCGCUGGAGCUCAUAAACGUCUCUCCUCAGCGAGGACAGCUCUUUUGAAU